AAUGAACGUUGGCGGCGUGGAUUAGGCAUGCAAGUCGAGCGAGAACCCCGCAAGGGGGGACAGCGGCGAAAGGGACAGUACUGUGUAGAUUAUCUGCCCUCAGGUCCGGGAUAGCUGCGGGAAACUGCAGGUAAUACCGGAUAACAUCUCCGGAUCAAAGGUGUGAUUCCGCCUGAGGAUGAGUCUGCAUCCUAUUAGCUAGUUGGCGGGGUAAUGGCCUACCAAGGCAUUGAUGGGUAGCAGGUGUGAGAGCACGACCUGCGUCAUUGGGACUGAGACACUGCCCAGACACCUACGGGUGGCUGCAGUCGAGAAUCUUCGGCAAUGGGCGCAAGCCUGACCGAGCGACGCCGCGUGUGGGAUGAAGGCCUUCGGGUUGUAAACCACUGUCAGAGGGGAUGAAAUGCAGGUGGGUUCUCCCAUCUGUUUGACAUAGCCUCAGAGGAAGGACGGGCUAAGUUCGUG
rnacentral:rRNA from 1 species